UUCAAACCCUUGUAUUGUUCACAGCAUGAUGAACAUAUCAUUGGCACAGGAGAAAGCCGCAGAAAUGUGGAAUUUUCAUUUGUUUAGAGUGCAAGCCCAUCUAUUUCGGAUGCCAAAUUUCAGAUGAUUUCUUUUCAAGAUCGUUAAUCUGUCUUUCGAACAGAAAACGUUAAUCGAUUAUUUUGAUCUUGCUUUCGCCCAUGGAAUUUGCGUAUCACUCAAAGUUUUACGCUCUUGAUAUGUUAGUUGUUGCGCAGGAAAUUGGGCACAUAUUCAUUCUUACAUGUACGCCGGAAUCAAUUCUUGUUGCUAACAGAGAGUAGAAAUUGCAGAAGAUUGUGGCAUGCUCUUAACUACUGGAUCUAUUCAAGCAUUUCUCAGUUUCUGGAAGCAAAAUUAAUCGGUUCAACUGAUUAUUGGAUGCAUUUAUGCAAUUAUUUAGUAUUGCUUACUAAAACUUAAAAAAGGAAUUUCCCUUUCCCUAUUACUAAUUCAAAAAGCCUUCAGAAACUGGUCAGUCGGACAUAACAAUCAAAAUUAUUUCCUUUUUUUUUUGGGUAGAAGGAGAGAACUAAAGGGUUUGGUAUUUCGGGACUUGGGUUCGUACCCCUCUCUAUUCAACCAAUGUUUAUUCUUACAUUCAAAAGCAAAUACAAUAAAAUUAAAAGACCAUGAAAAUCAUCAAUUGUUUUAUGGGUUGAACUUUUUGGGGGAGCAAACCAAAAAAAAAAAAAGAAAAAGAAAAAUCUCAAGAGAAACGUAUAGAUUGGCUUGGUAAGGCUCUUCUUUGUGACCUUGAGUACCAAGAGGUGUCCCCUUGAAAAUGGAUCAAAUGCUAGUUUUAGUGGAAGCAAUUAUGCUAAUAUAUCCGGCCAAGAUAGUGAUUACAAUGACAAAAUCAGCGACUGCAGUGGUGACAAAAAAGAACCAAGAGUUUUGGACACGUCCAGCAACUUAGAGACUGGAAAAGAGAUGGUUAUGACUUGUGAGAAUUCAGAAGCUGAUGUGGUGUUUCCUGAAGGUCAACGGGGCAUCACAAGUUCCAUUUGUAGUGGAAAGCAUGGCGGAGGAACGCUGCUGGACAACAUGGAAGUGGAAGGGUAAGCCGAAGAAGGAGAUUGGAGGAUUGAAAAGACCAGCAUUGAAGAAAUUUGGAGCAGAAAAGUCACCCUUGGUAGAGGGCUGCCCUUAUUGUGUUAGAGGAUCCGAAGCCUGGUUUUAUCCACACCAUCAUCACUGUCAACAAUAAUAUGUGGUAGAGUUUUUAGCCUUUUGGCUGAGUUUGUCAGGAACAUAAACUGUUUUUCUUGACAACUAAUAAGUUCUUUUCCCGUACCUGAGUUUGCAAGUGAUUUACUUAGUCAAAUGGAAUUAAUGGCAAGAAUUUUUUCUCGUGGGUGUUUGCUCAGUUGUUUAUGUUACCAUGCCUUUAUAUCAGCUGUAUUUAUAUUGUAGUUCAUGUUGUUACAGGACAAGAAAAGGAGAGGAAGUAGAAACAAUGGAACGCAUGUUCUUCCAAUGUCCAAUUGCCCAAAUGGUCUGGAAGAUAGCACCAGUAAGAUGCGAAGGACUAAGGGAUCUCCAAACUAACAUGUGGCGAUGGUGGGAGGCUGUAGUUCAGACAAGAACGAAGGAACAAGGCAUGGAACAAAUCAACCUGACAACAAACAUCUUAUGGUUGAUAUGGAAAGCAAGAAACAAGUUAGUGUUUGAAUAGCAAAAAGGAGAAGCAAGAGACAUUGUUAUGAAGGCACAACAAGAAUGGAUUGAAUUUGAAGAGGCGACAUGACAGGAAACAAUGGAGAAACAAGGAGGAGCAGCUCCAAACCAGAUGGAACAGAGAAAUGUACCAUCACAAGAGAGAAUCAUCAGAAUCCAUAUGGAUGCAGCUAUAAAUGCAAGGAUGAUCAGAGCAGGGAAAGGAAUAAUUGCAAGGCAUUGGACAGGAAAGAUCGUGAGAGCAAAGGGAUUAGUAUAAAGGAAGAAAAGAGAUGCUCUAAUGGAAGAAAUGUUAACCAUUAGAAUGGCACUCCAAAUGACAAGAAAAGCAGGUUAAAGGAAAAUUGCAAUCCUAUCAAACUGCAAAACACUCAUUGACCAAAUUAGUAACAACAAUGUGCAGGAUGGACAUCUAGCAACCAUUUUGGAGCCUAGAAGACAUUGGUGAAUCAACACAAGGUUUUGACCAAUGCAUAAUUUCUUUUGUAUCUAGAACAGUUAAUGUAGCAAGUCAUAUGUUAGCACAUUUUGCAACAAAACUAGUUAAUGACGUAGAAUGGGUAAAUGAUUUCGCAAUUUGGCUAAUAGAAGUAGCUAGGAAGGAUGAGAGGGUAAUUGCCCCUUUUUGUAAUUAA